UCAAGUCUGGUAUCUUUUUCAGAGACAGGCUUUCCGCCUAGCCUAAGAGAACUUCGGAUUUGGUCAUGUAAGGCUCUGCGGUCCUUACCUGGGUGGACAGCGCACGAUUCUAAUCUGGAGGAGUUGGUGAUAAAUGGGUGUGAUAAUCUGGAGUCCCUUCGGGAAGAAUGGGUCCACCACCCCCCAACAAAACUGUCAUUAUUGAUUAUCAACAAUUGCAAAAAACUAGAAUCGGUCAGUUUAUGCAACAACAGCCUCCUUGCUUCCCUUAAACUUCUGUGGAUAGAUAAUUGGCCUGCAGGAGGAGGAAUCGUCUCCUCCUACAUUCUAGAGAAAGGGAAUUUCCUCACCAACCUCACUUCUCUUUCAAUCGGGGAUAUGAAGAUUGGUAAGCCCCUAUCAGAGUGGGGUUUGCACAGAUUCUCCUCUCUUAGAACUAUUGUUCUUGGAGGCCCAAGUAGCGUAUCAGAAGAAGAAGAAGAAGAAGAAUAUUAUUCGGUGUCCAGCUUUCCAGUAGAUGGGAUGUUGCUGCCCAACUCUUUGACGCAUCUGUGGAUUUGGAAUUUCCCAAAUCUGGAGAAGAUAUCUUCUUCCAUGGAGACCAUUCAAAACCUCACCCAUCUUUAUUUCAGUAAUUGCCCUAGGCUCGCAUCUUUUCCCGAGCAAGGAGGGCUGCCACCAUCGCUUUUGGAACUUCAUAUCUCCGGAUGUCCAAUAAUGAAACGGCGGUGUGAAAAGGAAAAAGGCCAAUAUUGGCCCCUCAUAGCUCCCAUUCCUAGAGUCCUCAUAGAAGGCAGAUACAUCUUUGAAGAGGAAGGGGAAAGGCCAAUAUGAGCAAUCAAAACUACCAGGUUCAAUACAUUCAUUUAUCUGCUUUGCCCCAGCUACCGCUAUUCUUGGGAAACCAAAAGAGCUACCGAAGGAUGGUAUCAACUCUUUCAAUCAUUUUCUGCUGCGUCCGGUGAAGUAAAUGUUGCAUCUGAUUUAAAGAAAUGUUGCAUCUUGUUGAAGACCUAAAGAAUGCAGUGGCUUGAUGAUUUUGUAUUGUUGUUGUUGUUUCCUUGCUUCUGGUCGUGUUGCUUUUUCUUUUUCUUUUUUUGCUUUUUUGGUAAACUGGGUUAGUUCUUUUAUCAUACUAUAUUUUCUACUACUGCUUUUGUACGUGUCAUAUAUAAAAGCUCAGUGGUAAAUUAACUGGUUUAUGCUGACGCUACUGUUGUUGCUUCUUUGGCUUUCUAGACUUCCUGUGCAGCUAUUGCUAUCUUCCCAUGAUCUUUAUGUUGUAUCUGUUGUGCAUAUGUUCAUGUCAGAUGUAAACAAGGCCUAGAUUGGCUAAAUGGUAUUGUCCUCAUCUUUUGCUUGCUUUAGACAAUUCCCAUCCUUGUUUG